CCUACGGGUGGCAGCAGUGGGGAAUAUUGCACAAUGGGGGAAACCCUGAUGCAGCGACGCCGCGUGAGCGAAGAAGUAAUUCGUUAUGUAAAGCUCUAUCAGCAGGGAAGAAAAUGACGGUACCUGACUAAGAAGCCCCGGCUAACUACGUGCCAGCAGCCGCGGUAAUACGUAGGGGGCAAGCGUUAUCCGGAUUUACUGGGUGUAAAGGGAGCGUAGACGGCGGUGCAAGUCCGGAGUGAAAGGCGGGGGCUCAACCCCGGGACUGCAAUUGAAACUGUUCUGCUGGAGUGCAGGAGAGGGAAGGGGAAUGCCUAGUGUAGCGGUGAAAUGCGUAGAUAAUAGGAGGAACACCAGUGGCGAAGGCGGCUUACUGGACGGUAACUGACGUUGAGGCUCGAAAGCGUGGGGAGCAAACAGGAUUAGAUACCCGGGUAGUC
rnacentral:rRNA from 1 species